UUUUUUUAAAUCCAGAGGGCGUUUCCAUUUCUCUGUCUCCCAAUACUCGAAGCCACAUUCUUCUUGUUUCCCUCCACAGAUCUCUGAAAUCUCUCUCAUCAAACCCUAAUUUUCUCUCUCUAAACCUUCGAUCAUCUACUUUCCGUCGCAAUCCCUUGCCGAUCAGAAAGCUCUAGCUUUGCGCUCUGCAUCUGCGUUUACUCUGCGCACCGAUCGACUCGUCGUUGAAUGGUGUAGAAGCUUCAUGAAGGUUCGUUGAGCGUUUGGGUACAUGCGGUUUGAUGGAUGAACGAUGCCUGAACUGCGUAGUGGGGUGCGUAGAGGCCGGGCAACGAGGAAUCCGGGUCCGAUCGGAGGCAAAGACGCGGUGACGACUCGUCAGAGACGAAGAACGAGAGCUCAGGGUAGGAAGAACGAGGGUCUUGAUACGACGCCUUUUUGGGGUAGGAAGGACCAAGAUAACAAGAUUCUGUGCGUCACGGGCGCUGAGAUCAGGGAGCAGGUUGAGGAAAAGGAAAUGGACGACGAUAGUGGUCGCAGCGGCGAUAGGGGUGCGGGCGCUGAGGAUGAGGGAAGCACAGCUCCUCUUCCCGAGAAGGUCCAGGUUGGUGGUUCCCCAACAUAUAGGAUUGAAAAGAAACUGGGGAAAGGAGGCUUUGGGCAAGUCUAUGUUGGUCGACGCAUUACUGGUGCAAAUCCAAGUGAAAGAACUGGCCCAGGAGCUUUAGAAGUGGCCUUGAAAUUUGAGCAUAGGUCCAGCAAAGGAUGUAAUUAUGGACCACCAUAUGAGUGGCAAGUUUACAAUGCACUUGGUGGCAGUCAUGGUGUACCUCGUGUACAUUACAAGGGACGGCAAGGUGAUUAUUAUGUGAUGGUUAUGGAUAUGCUUGGACCUAGCUUGUGGGAUGUUUGGAAUAACAAUUCUCACACGAUGUCCAUUGAAAUGGUUGCCUGUAUUGCCAUCGAAGCAAUCUCAAUAUUGGAGAAGAUGCACUCUAGAGGAUACGUACAUGGGGAUGUAAAACCCGAAAACUUUUUGCUUGGUCCUCCAGGAACACCGGAAGAGAAAAAACUGUUUCUUGUUGACCUUGGAUUAGCGACCAGGUGGAAAGAUAGUUCAACAGGCCUACAUGUUGAAUAUGACCAGCGACCUGAUGUAUUUAGGGGAACAGUGCGCUAUGCUAGUGUGCAUGCUCAUCUUGGUAGAACUGGUAGCAGGAGAGAUGACUUGGAAUCUCUUGCUUACACGCUCAUUUUUCUACUCCGUGGCAGAUUGCCUUGGCAAGGAUACCAGGGAGAGAAUAAAGGUUUUCUUGUUUGCAAGAAGAAGAUGGCAACUUCUCCAGAAACGCUCUGUUGUUUUUGCCCUCAGCCUUUUCGGCAAUUUGUUGAGUAUGUAGUGAACUUGAAGUUUGAUGAGGAACCAAACUAUGCGAAAUAUAUUUCCCUUUUUGAUGGGAUUGUUGGUCCAAAUCCAGAUAUUAGGCCAAUUAACACUGAUGGUGCCCAGAAGCUUAUAUAUCAAGUUGGGCAUAAGAGGGGAAGGUUGACGAUGGAGGAGGAAGAUGACGAGCAACCAAAGAAAAAGAUCCGGAUGGGGAUGCCUGCAACCCAAUGGAUCAGUGUUUACAAUGCCCGCCGGCCAAUGAAGCAGAGAUAUCACUACAAUGUGGCAGAUGUGAGGCUUUCCCAACACAUAGAUAAAGGAAAUGAAGAUGGGCUAUUUAUCAGCAGUGUUGCUUCUUCUUCAAACCUAUGGGCUCUCAUCAUGGAUGCUGGCACUGGAUUUAGUGCUCAAGUUUAUGAACUCUCACCUUAUUUUCUCCACAAGGAAUGGAUUAUGGAACAGUGGGAGAAGAAUUAUUACAUCAGUGCAAUAGCAGGAGCUAAUAAUGGGAGUUCCUUAGUAGUAAUGUCUAAGGGCACCCAGUAUUUACAGCAGUCCUACAAAGUCAGCGAGUCAUUUCCAUUUAAGUGGAUAAAUAAGAAAUGGAGGGAGGGUUUCUAUGUCACAGCCAUGGCCACAGCAGGAAGUAGAUGGGCAAUUGUUAUGUCUCGUGGUGCAGGAUUUUCUGACCAGGUUGUGGAGUUAGAUUUUCUGUAUCCUAGUGAAGGUAUUCAUCGGCGAUGGGAUUGUGGUUAUCGCAUCACAUCAACUGCAGCAACUUGGGAUCAGGCUGCUUUUGUUCUUAGUGUGCCAAGAAGAAAACCAACAGAUGAAACCCAAGAGACACUACGAACGUCUGCAUUUCCUAGCACACAUGUUAAGGAGAAGUGGGCAAAAAAUCUUUAUAUUGCUUCUGUUUGCUAUGGUCGGACUGUUUCCUGAGCUUGAAAAGUUUUUCUGGAAAUCAGGCUUCUGUAUUUUGAUUGUUCGCUUUCAGGGCUGCAAGCCACCUCUCACCUUCUCUGUCAUGUUUGGAGCGAAAAUUCCUCAGAAGCCAAGCAGACUCAUUAUGGCAUUUGGAUUUGAUUAUGACGGCAGUUGUUUUCAAGCUUUUGAUUUGCCCUGGAAGCAAGUUAUAAAGUUAAAGAUGAGGGCCUUUGCUUAUUUGGCUGAAGAGAACUUACCCCUAUCCUUCGUUUGAAAAGACUGAAUCUGAAGCAAGCAUUAUCCAUAUUGGGUGCACUUGGUAUCCAGAAUGGUGUUGCUGAAGAAAGUGGAGUUGCCUCCCAAGUGAUGGUAGGUUAUUGUCUUGAGGGAUCUCGGCGAACCUUCGAUGUCUACAAUUGUUUGCUGCUACUUCUCUUGAAUGACUUCAUCUCAGAAGAUGUUAAUUAACAAGAUUCAUUUAUUGAUUGGAACUUGAUUGCAUUGAAACCUGAAUGCCUGAACCUAGACCUCCAUUUGCUUUUUUGGCUUGGUCAAGCAAAUGUGCUAGGCUUAGAGGAAUGUUCAUUUUUUUUUUUCACUUUUCCUUUAUCAUUGUUUUUACUUUUAUUUUCUUUCAUGGUAUUCUUUUGCAUGAUCACCUAGUGACUUGUCCUGGGGGUGGUUGUGCUGUAUUGCUUGUUUAUUCACCUUACAAGGGUUUGAAAUCUGGGUUUUUAGUUUUUUUUUUCUUUGCCUUAAUGACUAAUGUAGGUUACUAGUUUUCGUCUUCAAAUACUACCAGCAUUUAGAUUCCUGCAGACC